GACAAGUACCUGAGACGUCGCCUGAGGAAGGGAUCUCGCUGGUUCGUUGGAUCCAAUUUAGACAGAAGAUGCCAAGCGUGAUUCUGGAACUCUGCGUACAGUCGUUGCGACUCCAGCUGCAAUCAACAUAUUAAUUCGUGCUCUGGUGGUGAGAGACUCUGGGGAUUACGUGGAUUUAAUUAUGCCGGAAGUGAUGCAUUACAAGAUCUUUCGUUCAAUCUCGCAGUCAUCAGAUGAAUCAUUCGGUAAUUUGUAUUCUGUGGGUUUCGAUGAGACUAAUUGUAACGAUUUAUAGGGAGCGGGUGAGGGAUUGAACCAUUUUUUAUUCUACUUCCUGAAUCAUCAAACAGAAAUCGCCAGUUCCCGUGUGUUCUUUCCUUAAAUUACGAGUUAUCAAUCACGAGAAUUCUCCAAUACCCAGUCGUGUACAUUUUGGAAGUCUAGAAAAAUGUUCACCCAAAUAUUUUCCCCGAAUACCAAAAUUAUGUAGAGAUUAAUUCAGGUUCCCUUCCUACCCAAUCCUGUCCAACUAUUUGCGAUGUAUGAAGAUCUGGAACGUUCCAUAAAUCUUCCACUUCCUAUGCAAAAAAUCCGUCGGUACUAUCAAUAUCAGAGGAACCAAGGGACCACCUUCUUCGUAAAUCUCUAAUAAUAUCAUCUCAAUCAAUCAAGUAACCACCAGCUACACCUGCCCUUGACCGUUCUCACAUGAUUCAUAAGACUGCAGCAUUUAUGGCAGUAUGAUGUGAGAAAUCGUAAUGCAGCCGAUCCCCUUAUUAACAAAUCAACAAACAUUGAUAAUUCUCGGGAGGAGGCUGAUGAAAAAAGGAGGGGACCUGAGUGACAAAGUCUCGUAUGUUAGAAAAAAGGACAGAACAAGGCGCGCCCACCUCGAGGACGGGCUGGCUCUCACGAUGAUCUGGAACGCCGCAGUAGGUUAGUCUGGCCAAUGAUGGGGACGAUUCUUCGGCGAUACCGGACAUUGCGGAUCCCUUGGGGCUGGUAGCACUUGACGGUGGUGACAACACGUGACAGAGAGAGUUAGACCGAUGUGGAGGGAACGGAGACAAUGCUAAUAACGGUGAAAGAUAACGAGUGACGGUCCCACGAGUGGCAACACAUCGUGUCCCAUCAAAUUCCCAGCUGGGUUCAAGACCACUGAUGAAGAAAAGUUAAAUGGAGAUUUUUCAGCUAAUAUAGUAGACAAUCGUGGUGUUGGAAUGGAACAAUGGUCAUGGGGAUGUAAUUAGGGGCCUCCAGUCAGGUGGGGGGGAGUUGUCGUGUUUUUAGAAUAAUUUGUUGAACGAUUUUACUUUCAUACAGUCUGUUUUUAACUAUUGUUUUUAAGUAUUUGUUUUCUUGAAGAUAUUUGAGAGCCUAGUCGAUGUUACAAUGAGCGUGAGCCCGGGAAUUACCGGAGUUGUUUUAUCUAGACUUUUUGAAGACAAGAAGCACACAAUUGAAUAAUUGAAAUUUAAUGAUAGUUUAUUAUGUAAUCAGAGGAUGAAAGUAUCAUCUGACGAAUGUUGCUUUAUAAUCUGGGCUCAAGGCGAGGAUUAUAAUCUUCUUCUUCAAAUGAAUUUUUUUGUCGGUGUCUGGACUGUUUUAUGUUAUUGGGUCAGAAAACACCGGGUCUAGUGACAUAAAUAGUCUAAUGGUGAUGAUCGGUAAUGGCUGGACGAUUGGAUUGAUUCGUUAGCCCGACUAUUGCAAUCGAUUUAUAACCCAAGGAACCCCAUAUUUAUCGCAGAAAUUUCCCUCACGAACCACCGUCUGCUACCAUACGUCACUCCAUUGCCGGUGAUAGCGUUGGAGGUGUCGAAUGAGAUAACGCUAUUCCAACAGCACGUCCACUGGGAUAUUAAGAACAUCAACUAGUAGAACAUGGUGGCCUUCUCCAAGGUGCAGGUGUUGUUCAUACCGUGGGAAAAUAGAGCGACGACCUCGAACGCGGAAUAUUUAUAAUUAAGUAUGCGAAACUAGACUGUAACACUUGGAUAUCAGUGACGGUAAGAAUUCUUAGGAAUCAGUCGGAAUGAAUAGCUAAAUAGAUUUUAAAAAAUUAGUCGACUAGACCCAUUCCUCAAGAACAUUGGUUCCUUUGGACUUGAUCCUACAGUUUUCCUAUGGCAUGAAGAUGUAAUUAAAACAUUACAUAAUGACCGCCAUUGCUGGAGCUACAGCAGACUUUUAUCCUCCAUUUAAUUAGCUGCAAUGGAAUUGGCAAUUAAUAAAAAUUCCGUUUAUCAUUAGGACAUUAAAUUAAUCAUCUCCGUUUGCCCAUUUUAUAAUUGAAUUCUUCCAAAAGUCCAAUUGAGUCAAUUUUGUUCAAUUAAUCUAUUUAAAAACAGAAAAAUUGAGAUGAAUUCCGUAAUGAUUGUCAUCCGGUUGAUUUCUUCUUACAUAAAAACGAAUAUUAUAUCAUCCCAAAGUCAUGCAUAAACUAAAAGAUAACAUCUUAAACCAAUCAAGAUAACGUAUUAAAUAAAUACUCUUCGUUAAGUGGGUAAUGAGAGAAGUUAUUAAUGAAAUCGUGUUAGAGUUAUCUCGAAAAAACCUGCGGUGAGCGAUUCUCGACGACUCACGUCCUUCCUGGCUUAUGAAUC